rnacentral:rRNA from 1 species
GACGUAGGGGGCCAGCGUUGUUCGGAAUUACUGGGCGUAAAGCGCGCGUAGGCGGACCUGCAAGUCGGGGGUGAAAGCCCGAGGCUCAACCUCGGAACUGCCUUCGAUACUGCGGGUCUCGAGUCCGGGAGAGGUGAGUGGAAUUCCUAGUGUAGAGGUGAAAUUCGUAGAUAUUAGGAAGAACACCAGUGGCGAAGGCGGCUCACUGGCCCGGUACUGACGCUGAGGCGCGAAAGCGUGGGGAGCAAACAGG